UACGUAGGUGGCGAGCGUUAUCCGGAUUUAUUGGGCGUAAAGGGUGCGCAGACGGUUUGUUAAGUCUAAGAUGAAAGCCCGGAGCUUAACUCCGGUUUGUUUUAGAAACUGGCAGGCUUGAGUAUGGUAGAGGCAAAUGGAAUUCCUAGUGUAGCGGUGGAAUGCGUAGAUAUUAGGAGGAACACCAGUGGCGAAGGCGGUUUGCUGGGCCAUUACUGACGUUCAUGCACGAAAGCGUGGGGAGC
rnacentral:rRNA from 1 species